CGAUUCUCUGAGUUAUACUGCAAUUGAGAAGUUAUGAAAAGCUAAUUGGCAUGCGGAUAAUGCUGAGUUGGCAUUUGGUUAUAACCGCACCUAUCUUCAAAUAUAUGGAUAGCUGGCCCGUAACUAAUCACUAACAACUUCCCAAUAAUCUACUACUUUGGCUUAAGCAGUUGCUAACCGUCUAACAAAUUCUUCCCUAUAAAAGAGAAGAGAAGGGAAAGAUAAAAAAGGAUUAUCUAGAAACUAGCUUUCUCUCCGAAUACUAUUUGUUCUCACUAUUUUUCUUUUUUCUAUCAUUUUUCUCUCCUAUUCUUGGGCCAUCGUGUUGGGAGGGUGGGCGACAACAAUCCAGUGGGCCAAUUUGCGGUGUCCAUUGUUGCCUUCUCUGUCUUCUGAGCCCCUAAUUGUAGUCUGAGGUUGCAUAGGCUUGUAUUCCUUUGAUGUCAUUAAUGAAAAUACUGUUCUUACAGUGCCAUAUAUAAGUUGCCAUAUCUAAGUGUGUUGCCGUGCCUUUUUCUCGUAUUUUUCUGUCAUACAUUUUGGCUGGCUCCUUUGUGCAGGU
rnacentral:lncRNA from 1 species